rnacentral:rRNA from 1 species
UACGUAGGGGGCAAGCGUUGUCCGGAAUCAUUGGGCGUAAAGAGCGUGUAGGCGGUUCGGUAAGUCGGCUGUGAAAGUCCAGGGCUCAACCCUGGGAUGCCGGUCGAUACUGCCGGACUAGAGUUCGGAAGAGGCGAGUGGAAUUCCCGGUGUAGCGGUGAAAUGCGCAGAUAUCGGGAGGAACACCUAUGGCGAAGGCAGCUCGCUGGGACGUUACUGACGCUGGAGACG